rnacentral:rRNA from 1 species
CGGCAACAGCUCAAAUUUGAAAUCUGGCUCUCGGGCCCGAGUUGUAAUUUGUAGAGGAUACUUUUGAUGCGGUGCCUUCCGAGUUCCCUGGAACGGAGCGUCAUAGAGGGUGAGAAUCCCGUCU